rnacentral:rRNA from 1 species
CUGACCUCAAAUCAGGAGACC